ensembl:lncRNA
CCCGGCUCUCGGGGCUGCUCAGGAAGAUGCACUUGUUCCGGAGCUCCAGCUACGAGGUGCGGCUGGAGGGGGCCGGGGGGAGCCUGCCCCGCAUCCAGGGGAUCCGCUGGGUGAGUGGGGCCGGGGGAGCGUGUCCCCAAAUCCCCCGGGUGAGCGGGGCCGGGGGAGCGUGUCCCCAAAGGAGCGUGUCCCCAAAUCCCCCGGGUGAGCGGGGCCGGGGUCUCCCCAGCCCCGGGAAUCCGGGAAUGAGAGGAGGGCAGGUAGUCCAGGAGUGCAGGGAGCCAGGUGAGGGUGGAAGGAGCCAGGUGAGGGAGCAGGGAGUGAAGCCAGGCGUGCAGGUGAGGGCACAAGGGCCAGGUGAGGGAGCAGGGAGUGAAUCCAGGCGUGCAGGGAGCCAGGUGAGGGCACAAGGGCCAGGCGAGGGCACAGGGGGCCAGGUGAGGGCACAAGGGCCAGGUGAGGCUGCGGGUGAGCUGCUUAGGCUGGAACGGGCGGAGCGGAGCGGAACGGGCGGCCAGGCGUGAAGCGAGCCCCGUGCCAGGUGCCCGGCGGCGCAUCCCAGCAGGAAGGACAUUCCGGGGGGACAUUCCGGGGGGACAUUCCCGGUGGGGGACAUUCCAGGGGGACAUUCCCGGGGGACAUUCCCGGGGGGACAUUCCCGGGAGCGCGCAGCCUUCCCCCGCUCCCCCGCCCGUUCCCGCACAGGGAUUUGUCCCCUGGCAUCGCGACCUCCCCGCCCGGCUCCGCGCUGGCCCCGGGAGCUGGGGGCAGUCCCCGGGGUGCCGGGCCCUGCUCUCGGCCCCUCCGUGUCCCCUCCAGGGGGGAGGUGACCCUGGAGCCCUGGCAGAGCUUCCGGAGCUUUGUGUCCUUCCCCCUCCCACACUGCUUGGCCUGGGACACUUUUCAAGAAAAAAGUGGAAUUAUUUUAGGGGACAGCUCCCCUCGGGGCAUUUCCACGGAGCACGGGGGCUCCCUCCCAGAAAAGUUUUCCUCCCUUUUUCCCUUUCUUCCCGAUUUAUUUUUCUCUCCAAAACUUUUAGGAACGGACUUUGGGGAGGGCUUUGUUGGGGCACUCAGCCUGGGAAGCCAGGCCAGCAGCAGGCCUGGAGCAUUCCCGGGCUGGACUGGGAUCAAUCCCACCAGCCCUGGCAGCAGUGACACCUGUGGCACGGCAGGAGUGUCCCCUCUGCAGGGGACACCCGGGGUCGAGGGCACUGGAGCGAUGCCAGCAGGGAAAGGGGGAUUUUGUCCCAGCACAGCCACUCCUGGGGCAGGGGAGCGGCAGGGAAGCGCCUCAGGAGCCCACAGGUCCCUUGUCCCCAUCGCUGGAAGCUCCUGGAAACUCCUCCUGGCUCCAUCUCAUCCCCCUCGGGGACCUGAUCCCAGCAAAUCCCUCCCGGCUCCAAAGGACAGCGGUGUCCCCAAGUGGCUCCGUCCUCCGUCCUUCCCAGGGGACAAGCGCCACUGUGCCAGUGACAAGCGCCACUGUGCCAGCCCCUGCCGCAUCCCUGGCAAGGACAGCGGAGCCGGAGUGCAUCCCNNNNNNNNNNNNNNNNNNNNNNNNNNNNNNNNNNNNNNNNNNNN